CACCGGCAGCCCAAGUGGUGGCCAUUUUUAUUGGGCCUAAAGCGUUCGUAGCCGGCCUGAUAAGUCUCUGGUGAAAUCCCACAGCUUAACUGUGGGAAUUGCUGGAGAUACUAUCAGGCUUGAGGCCGGGAGAGGCUGGAGGUACUCCCAGGGUAGGGGUGAAAUCCUAUAAUCCUGGGAGGACCACCUGUGGCGAAGGCGUCCAGCUGGAACGGACCUGACGGUGAGUAACGAAAGCCAGGGGCGCGAACCGGAUUAGAUACCCGGGUAGUCCUGGCCGUAAACGAUGUGGACUUGGUGUUGGGAUGGCCUCGAGCUGCCCCAGUGCCGAAGGGAAGCUGUUAAGUCCACCGCCUGGGAAGUACGGUCGCAAGACUGAA
rnacentral:rRNA from 1 species